CCUACGGGUGGCAGCAGUGGGGAAUAUUGCACAAUGGGGGGAACCCUGAUGCAGCGACGCCGCGUGAGUGAAGAAGUAUUUCGGUAUGUAAAGCUCUAUCAGCAGGGAAGAAAAUGACGGUACCUGACUACGACGCCCCGGCUAACUACGUGCCAGCCGCCGCGGUAAUACGUAGGGGGCAAGCGUUAUCCGGAUUUACUGGGUGUAACGGGAGCGCAGACGGCUGUGCAAGUCUGGAGUGAAAGGCGGGGGCCCAACCCCCGGACUGCUCUGGAAACUGUAAAGCUGGAGUGCAGGAGAGGUAAGCGGAAUUCCUAGUGUAGCGGUGAAAUGAGUAGAUAUUAGGAGGAACACCAGUGGCGAAGGCGGCUUACUGGACUGCAACUGACGUUGAGGCUCGAAAGCGUGGGGAGCAAACAGGAUUAGAUACCCGAGUAGUC
rnacentral:rRNA from 1 species